rnacentral:rRNA from 1 species
UACGAAGGGUGCAAGCGUUAAUCGGAAUUACUGGGCGUAAAGCGCGCGUAGGUGGUUCAGUAAGUUGGAAGUGAAAUCCCCGGGCUCAACCUGGGAACUGCUUUCAAAACUGCUGAGCUAGAGUACGGUAGAGGGUGGUGGAAUUUCCUGUGUAGCGGUGUAAUGCGUAGAUAUAGGAAGGAACACCAGUGGCGAAGGCGACCACCUGGACUGAUACUGACACUGAGGUGCGAAAGCGUGGGGAGCAAACAGG